AUGUGAAGCGAACGCGGUGAACUGAAACAUCUAAGUAACCGCAGGAAAAGAAAUCAACCGAGAUUCCCAAAGUAGUGGCGAGCGAAAUGGGAUGAGCCUUGUACUCUUUAUUUGUAUUGUUAGCCGAACGCUCUGGAAAGUGCGGCCAUAGCAGGUGAUAGCCCUGUAGGCGAAAACAGUAUGAAAGAACUAGGUGUACGACAAGUAGGGCGGGACACGUGAAAUCCUGUCUGAAGAUGGGGGGACCAUCCUCCAAGGCUAAAUACUCGUGAUCGACCGAUAGUGAACCAGUACCGUGAGGGAAAGGCGAAAAGAACCCCGGGAGGGGAGUGAAAUAGAUCCUGAAACCGCAUGCAUACAAACAGUCGGAGCCUCGUAAGGGGUGACGGCGUACCUUUUGUAUAAUGGGUCAGCGACUUACGUUCAGUAGCAAGCUUAACCGUAUAGGGCAGGCGUAGCGAAAGCGAGUCCGAAUAGGGCGUUCAGUUGCUGGGCGUAGACCCGAAACCAGGUGAUCUAUCCAUGGCCAGGAUGAAGGUGCGGUAACACGUACUGGAGGUCCGAACCCACUAACGUUGAAAAGUUAGGGGAUGAGCUGUGGAUAGGGGUGAAAGGCUAAACAAACCUGGAAAUAGCUGGUUCUCUCCGAAAACUAUUUAGGUAGUGCCUCGUGUCUCACCUUCGGGGGUAGAGCACUGUCAUGGUUGGGGGGUCUAUUGCAGAUUACCCCGCCAUAGCAAACUCCGAAUACCGAAGAGUGCAAUCACGGGAGACAGACAUCGGGUGCUAACGUCCGGUGUCAAGAGGGAAACAACCCAGACCGCCAGCUAAGGUCCCCAAAUAUGGCUAAGUGGGAAACGAAGUGGGAAGGCUAAAACAGUCAGGAGGUUGGCUUAGAAGCAGCCACCCUUUAAAGAAAGCGUAAUAGCUCACUGAUCGAGUCGUCCUGCGCGGAAGAUGUAACGGGGCUAAGCCAUAUACCGAAGCUGCGGAUGCG
rnacentral:rRNA from 1 species